CAUGGUUUUUUGGAUUAUAAUUUAAAAUUUAAUCUGCUCAAUGAUUAUUUAAAUUGCCGCAGUAUUUUAACUGUGCAAAGGUAGCAUAAUAAUUAGUUUCUUGAUUAGAAGCUGGAAUGAAUGAUUGGACGAUAAAAUAACUGUCUCUAUUUAAUUUUUUAAUGAAUUUUAUUUUUAAGUUAAAAAGCUUAAAUUUUAUUAAAAGACGAGAAGACCCUAUAGAGUUUGAUAAUAAAAAUAUUAAUUAUUUUAGAAUUAAAUUAUUAUAAUAUUAUUUAGUUGGGGUGACUUAAAAAUUAAAAAAAUUUUUUGAAGUUUAAAUUUUUAAUAAGAAAGUUUAUAAUCUAUAUUUUUAAAAUUAAAAUAAAUUACCUUAGGGAUAACAGCGUAAUUUUUCUUUAAAGUUCAUAUUAAAAGGAAAGUUUGCGACCUCGAUGUUGGAUUAAAAUUAAUUUUAGGUGCAGUAACUUAAAAAUUAAGUCUGUUCGACUUUUUAAAUU
rnacentral:rRNA from 1 species